GACGACGCUGGCGGCGUGCCUAACACAUGCAAGUCGAGCGGAGUCGAUCGACGGAAGCCUUCGGGCGGAAGAUGGUUGACUUAGCGGCGGAUGGGUGAGUAACGCGUGGGCAACCUGCCUCGAAGACCGGGAUAACAGCCCGAAAGGGCUGCUAAUACCGGAUGUGGUCAAGGAUCCGCAUGGAUUUUUGAUUAAAGGGGAAACCCGUUUCGAGAUGGGCCCGCGUCCUAUCAGCUAGUUGGUGAGGUAAAAGCCCACCAAGGCGACGACGGGUAGCCGGCCUGAGAGGGUGACCGGCCACACUGGAACUGAGACACGGUCCAGACUCCUACGGGGGGCAGCAGUGGGGAAUCUUCCACAAUGGGCGAAAGCCUGAUGGAGCGACGCCGCGUGAGCGAAGAAGGCCUUCGGGUUGUAAAGCUCUGUCUGGAGGGACGAAGGAAGUGACGGUACCUCCGGAGGAAGCCACGGCUAACUACGUG
rnacentral:rRNA from 1 species